rnacentral:rRNA from 1 species
GUAAGGAAUAUUGGACAAUGGACGCAAGUCUGAUCCAGCCAUGCCGCGUGAAGGAUUAAGGUCCUCUGGAUUGUAAACUUCUUUUAUAAGGGACGAAAAAAGGCUUUUCUAAGUCGUCUGACGGUACCUUAUGAAUAAGCACCGGCUAACUCCGUGCCAGCAGCCGCGGUAAUACGGAGGGUGCAAGCGUUAUUCGGAUUCACUGGGUUUAAAGGGUACGUAGGCUGGCAGGUAAGUCAGUGGUGAAAUCCUAGAGCUUAACUCUAGAACUGCCAUUGAUACUAUCUGUCUUGAAUAUUGUGGAGGUAAGCGGAAUAUGUCAUGUAGCGGUGAAAUGCUUAGAUAUGACAUAGAACACCUAUUGCGAAGGCAGCUUACUACGCAUAUAUUGACGCUGAGGCACGAAAGCGUGGGGAUCAAACAGGAUUAGAAACCCCGGUAGUCC